AUUGAACGCUGGCGGCAUGCCUUACACAUGCAAGUCGAACGGUAACAGGUCUUCGGAUGCUGACGAGUGGCGAACGGGUGAGUAAUACAUCGGAACGUGCCCGAUCGUGGGGGAUAACGGAGCGAAAGCUUUGCUAAUACCGCAUACGAUCUACGGAUGAAAGCAGGGGACCGCAAGGCCUUGCGCGAACGGAGCGGCCGAUGGCAGAUUAGGUAGUUGGUGGGAUAAAAGCUUACCAAGCCGACGAUCUGUAGCUGGUCUGAGAGGACGACCAGCCACACUGGGACUGAGACACGGGCCAGACGCCUACGGGAGGGAGCAGUGGGGAAUUUUGGACAAGGGGCGCAAGCCUGAUCCAGCAAUGCCGCGUGCAGGAUGAAGGCCUUCGGGUUGUAAACUGCUUUUGUACGGAACGAAAAGGCUCUGGUUAAUACCUGGGGCUCAUGACGGUACCGUAAGAAUAAGCACCGGCUAACUACGUGCCAGCAGCCGCGGUAAAAC
rnacentral:rRNA from 1 species